GGCGGCGUGCCUAAUACAUGCAAGUCGAGCGAAUGAUAGGGAGCUUGCUCCCUUGAUUUAGCGGCGGACGGGUGAGUAACACGUGGGCAACCUACCUGUAAGACUGGGAUAACUUCGGGAAACCGGAGCUAAUACCGGAUAAUUUCUUUUCUCGCAUGAGAAGAGAUGGAAAGACGGUUUCGGCUGUCACUUACAGAUGGGCCCGCGGCGCAUUAGCUAGUUGGUGAGGUAAUGGCUCACCAAGGCCACGAUGCGUAGCCGACCUGAGAGGGUGAUCGGCCACACUGGGACUGAGACACGGCCCAGACUCCUACGGGAGGCAGCAGUAGGGAAUCUUCCGCAAUGGACGAAAGUCUGACGGAGCAACGCCGCGUGAACGAAGAAGGCCUUCGGGUCGUAAAGUUCUGUUGUUAGGGAAGAACAAGUACCAGAGUAACUGCUGGUACCUUGACGGUACCUAACCAGAAAGCCACGGCUAACUACGUGCCAGCAGCCGCGGUAAUACGUA
rnacentral:rRNA from 1 species